UUCUUAAAUUUCAAAAAAAAAAUAACGAAUUAAAAUGAAGACCUCAAAUUGCGUCUUUCUUCUUUACUGCAUCGUUCUUUUAGGUUCAAUGACAAUUAUACGUGGACAAGACGAAGUUGAUGAAGAAAAAGCUGCACGAUGCGAAGCAAUUGGCUUGCAAUCUGGAAAUGCCUUGCAGAAAAUUAUUGAUGAACUUAGUACUUGCAGUGGUGGAAAUUGCAAACAACCUGUAGUUGACGCAGGCAGAGUAGAAACAGAAGUUUCUUCAACAGAGUGUAUAAUUUCCUUAAGAAUUGCAAUCAAAUAUGGAAAAUGAUAUUUGUUAAGCCGUAAUCUUUAAUGAUGUUUAAAGAGAAUAAAAGAAACAUUGUUAACCCAUA